UAUCCUUCAACCAUCUUGAGGGUGAGGUACCAAACGAGGGGGUUUUCAAAAAUGUGAGUGCAUUAUCAAUCCUGGGAAAUGACGGGCUCUGUGGCGGCAUGUUACAGCUUCAUCUACCUGCAUGUCCUACCCCCAUAAGGUCUCCUAGAAAGAAAAGAUUGCAAAGAUAUGUUAGAAUAGUGAUACCAAUAACCGGAGCAACUCUAUUCUUCAUUCUGUCUUUGCUCGCAGCUUUGUUGUUUUAUCGAAAAUUUAAAUUAAGAAAGAAAGAUGCACCAUUGACGCAAGAAAUUGAGGAUCAAUAUCCGAAAGUUUCUUAUGGAGAAUUAUUUAAAGCAACUGAUGGGUUCUCCCAAACCAAUUUGAUAGGGAAAGGAAGAUAUGGCUCUGUGUACAAAGGCACUCUAAGUUACAAUCAAAGCACCAUAGUCGCCAUCAAAGUUUUUAACCUUCAGCAGUCAGGGUCUUCUAAAAGCUUUAUUGCCGAAUGUGAGGCACUAAGAAGAGUUCGCCACCGUAGUCUCAUCAAGAUCAUUAGUUGUUGUUCGAGCAUUGACUACCAGGGUACCGAUUUUAAAGCCCUGAUCUUUGAGUUCAUGCCUAAUAACAGUUUAGAAAGCUGGUUGCAUCCGAAGGUUGAUGACUCACAACAAUGUAAAACUCUCAGCCUACCUGAGAGGUUGAACAUUCUGGUCGAUGUUGCCGAUGCGCUGGAUUAUCUUCACCACAGUUGUCAGCCAGCAAUUGUACAUUGUGAUAUGAAGCCGAGUAACAUCCUUCUUGAUCAAGAAAAGUGCGCACAU
rnacentral:lncRNA from 1 species